AAAUACAGGAUAUUCGUUCUU
rnacentral:miRNA from 1 species